AUUGAACGCUGGCGGCAUGCCUUACACAUGCAAGUCGAACGGCAGCGGGCCUUCGGGUGCCGGCGAGUGGCGAACGGGUGAGUAAUGCAUCGGAACGUGCCAUUGAGUGGGGGGAUAACGUAGCGAAAGUUACGCUAAUACCGCAUAUUCUGUGAGCAGGAAAGCAGGGGACCGCAAGGCCUUGCGCUCUUUGAGCGGCCGAUGUCAGAUUAGCUAGUUGGUGAGGUAAAGGCUUACCAAGGCGACGAUCUGUAGCGGGUCUGAGAGGAUGAUCCGCCACACUGGAACUGAGACACGGUCCAGACUCCUACGGGAGGCAGCAGUGGGGAAUUUUGGACAAUGGGCGCAAGCCUGAUCCAGCCAUGCCCGCGUGAGUGAAGAAGGCCU
rnacentral:rRNA from 1 species